rnacentral:rRNA from 1 species
UGGGGAAUAUUGCACAAUGGGCGCAAGCCUGAUGCAGCCAUGCCGCGUGUGUGAAGAAGGCCUUCGGGUUGUAAAGCACUUUCAGCGAGGAGGAAGGUGGUGAGCUUAAUACGCUCAUCAAUUGACGUUACUCGCAGAAGAAGCACCGGCUAACUCCGUGCCAGCAGCCGCGGUAAUACGGAGGGUGCAAGCGUUAAUCGGAAUUACUGGGCGUAAAGCGCACGCAGGCGGUUUGUUAAGUCAGAUGUGAAAUCCCCGGGCUCAACCUGGGAACUGCAUUUGAAACUGGCAAGCUAGAGUCUCGUAGAGGGGGGUAGAAUUCCAGGUGUAGCGGUGAAAUGCGUAGAGAUCUGGAGGAAUACCGGUGGCGAAGGCGGCCCCCUGGACGAAGACUGACGCUCAGGUGCGAAAGCGUGGGGAGCAAAACAGGAUUAGAUACCCUGGUAGUCCACGCUGUAAAACGAUGUCGAUUUUGGAGGUUGUGCCCUUGAGGCGUGGNUUCCGGAGCUAACG